UUGAAUAAUUUAGUGAAUAAACAUGAUAAAUAUUGAUUGGAAAAAUAAGUCCAUGAACAGCAAAAAGUGUUUUUAGAUUUCAAAGAGCAAAACAAAAGUAUUCUAAAUCAUUCUUCUUUAAAAAAAAAGUGAGCCAGUGGAACCACCUUGCUCGCAACAAAAUUGAGAUUGACAGUGUCAAAACUGCUCUGGCGCACCAUCAAUAAAUCAACGACACUCUCUCUACCGCGGUAUUGAAACCAGCAUUGGUAACCAAACAUAUUCAUACAGAUACAGACUACCAUUCAUCUACAUUUAGGAAGUCUGAAUAAUACUGAAAACUAUGGUGUAGAAUUUCCAACAGGACUCCUUAUUUUAUAUAAGACAAGGAGUGGUUUAUUUUCCCAUGGUUGUUACAUCAUCUUGUCUUUGAAUAUGCUCGAAGUACAGGGACUUUUAUGGAAUUCAUUGACAUGAUAGUCAAGCAAGAUGUCAACAUCUCGUCCAACCCUCUUCCAGCAAAGCCAAAGCUGACCAAGGAUCUUCACCCUUUCAAAACAGGCUGUAUACAGGACGAGUUAUUCCAGUAGGAACAGGGCUAUAUAUAUGCAAGCAAUACUCAAUUAAGAUGAAUUUUUGUAAAAGUGACAAUAGCCAGGUCAAACUAAAUACAUGUAUAGAAGAAGAUAUUGAUCUAGACUCGCAGCUAACCUUUCUGUCAGUGUCAACAACAACUGAACUUUCACAGCAGUCAACAUCAGAUUGGGAGACUGAUAAUGCUUCUAACAGAAACAAUUUCAACCAACCAAACAAGCAACAGAAACUUUCCAACUUUAAAACAUCAGUUAAAUCUUCCAUGGGAUGAUGUCUCAAAAAAUAACAGUUCAUCAUUUAUGGAGAUUUUAAUGUUAUGGUUUUUCUUUUACAAGAAAGUUAAUGUACACUUGUUUUAUAGUAAAACCUAUAGCCGUUCAAGUAUAAAAAAACACAUUCAACUUUAUUGAAAUUUGAAGAUUCAUAUGACUUAUUUUAAUUCUGUUAUCUCCGAGAAUGUGAUAUAGAGCAUUAUAGGUACAGUAAUCUUAACAGCUAUCCAAUUUCAUUCAAAAUUCUUUAUAAAUUUUGCACUGGUAUAUAUAGACUACCUAAGUAAUUUGUUUUUCGUCUAGUUAUGGGAUAUUUUUAUACCCCACACAACGAGUUGCGGAGGG